rnacentral:rRNA from 1 species
UGAAGGACGUUACUAACGACGAUAUGCUUUGGGGAGCUGUAAGUAAGCUUUGAUCCAGAGAUUUCCGAAUGGGGAAACCCAGCAUGAGUUAUGUCAUGUUAUCGAUAUGUGAAUACAUAGCAUAUCAGAAGGCACACCCGGAGAACUGAAACAUCUUAGUACCCGGAGGAAGAGAAAGAAAAUUCGAUCCCCUUAGUAGCGGCGAGCGAAACGGGAAGAGCCCAAACCAACAAGCUUGCUUGUUGGGGUUGUAGGACACUCUAUACGGAGUUACAAAGGACGACAUUAGACGAAUCAUCUGGAAAGAUGAAUCAAAGAAGGUAAUAAUCCUGUAGUCGAAAAUGUUGUCUCUCUUGAGUGGAUCCUGAGUACGACGG